UACGUAGGGAGCAAGCGUUGUUCGGAUUUACUGGGCGUAAAGGGCGCGUAGGCGGCGCGGUAAGUCACUUGUGAAAUCUCUGAGCUUAACUCAGAACGGCCAAGUGAUACUGCAGUGCUAGAGUGCAGAAAGGGCAAUCGGAAUUCUUGGUGUAGCGGUGAAAUGCGCAGAUAUCAGGAAGAACACCCGUGGCGAAGGCGGCUCUCUGGGACGGUACUGACGCUGAGACGCGAAAGCGUGGGAGCGAACAGG
rnacentral:rRNA from 1 species